AUUGAACGCUAGCGGGAUGCUUUACACAUGCAAGUCGAACGAGUGGCGGACGGGUGAGUAAUCUAUCUGAACGUGCCCAGUAGCGGGGGAUAACUACUCGAAAGAGUGGCUAAAACCGCAUACUAUUGGAGCGGCCGAUAUCGGUUUGGCUAGUUGGUGGGGUAAAGGCUCACCAAGGCCACGAUCCGUAGCCGGUUUGAGAGGACGACCAGCCACACUGGGACUGAGACACGGCCCAGACUCCUACGGGAGGAAGCAGUGGUGAAGUUUGGACAAUGGGGGAAACCCUGAUACAGCCAUCCCGCGUGUAUGAGAAGGCCUUCGGGUUGUAAAGUACUUUUGGCAGAGAAGCGGUAUCUGCAGAAUAAGCACCGGCUAACUACGUGCCAGCAGCCGCGGUAAUUC
rnacentral:rRNA from 1 species